rnacentral:rRNA from 1 species
UAAUUGAAGAGUUUGAUCAUGGCUCAGAUUGAACGCUGGCGGCAGGCCUAACACAUGCAAGUCGAGCGGUAACAGGAGAAAGCUUGCUUUCUUGCUGACGAGCGGCGGACGGGUGAGUAAUGUAUGGGGAUCUGCCCGAUAGAGGGGGAUAACUACUGGAAACGGUGGCUAAUACCGCAUAAUGUCUA